ACCCUGUCCAUAUUAGAUUACCCAGAAUGUCUGCCAUAGCCUUGCAUAAUAUUCACAGCAUCACAUAAUGGCAGAAGUGGAAAGGGACACGUGGAUCCAUCUGGCCCAACUCCUGUUCAAGCAGAGGCAUCCAGGAGUCCAUACGCCCAAGCCUCUGUUACUGAUGCCUUGAUGUCCUGAUGUGUCGACAGCACAUGGGUGACAAAAUGUGGUUAAAACAAAGUAAUGGGUACAUAUUUAAUACUGCAUAUUGUUGUUCCAGGUAUCACCUAAAAUCUUCCUGCAUAUAAAUGACUCUUUUUCAGAAAUGCAAAUGGAUUGAAUCUUACAGCUGUACUGAGGCAGCUCCAGGCUUGGCAACUAAAUUAAGUUACACAAAUGCAAAUAAGCAGUGAAUGACAUCCAGCAGAUCUGACUGACCUCAUUUUCUCAUCUGCAUGACCACGAAGUGAAAGCAACCUACAGAAAUUACUAGAUUUAUGGUUGGGAAAAAAAACACAGUGCAGGUAAACAACAGAUGUGACUCAGCUGGAAAACCCACUUUUAAGUUCCUGCAUAUAUUCUUGACGAUUUUCACAAUACAACUGGAUGGUGAGUGCCUCAGGUACUGGGGCAGUGACAUUGCAAUUAAAAUGUCUCACUAUGGUCCCUAUGACAGAAAUUUGAACUUCAAACAAUGUUUGCCCUAAGGCGGUCCCCAGGAGGGCUGGCUGCCAAAGGAUGUCUGCUCAAUGUGGUGAGGGGAUACACAGCAACCUUAUCCUACUAAACAUUCGGGUAUGGACCCUUACCAUGCUGUGCUGCAUUCCUCAGCAUGGAAGAAGCUUUGACCUCCAUGAGAAAUGGGAGGAACCUGGGAUCUGCAUAAAACCAUAGGAAUGGCUAGCAGAAAAACAGGUGUUCUGUUACUGCUAUUUAAGCUUUUCAUGAAGCAAACACUGUAUGAGAGGGCUUUAACCUUGUACAACUCACACAGCCUUUAAUUGGAGCACAGUGGGAAAGGCACCUGCCUGCAGCACCUGUCUGUCUUGUCCAUAAGCACCUCCCUCAUAUCAGAACAGUUUCAGUUGUCUCCUAGAAGUGUAUCAUUUUGUUGAGCGAUAAAUGGAACUGUGAAAUAUUGCCUGUAAUCAGCACCCUUUAUGGCAAAGCUCAUUAAAUUCCUGACAAGUCUAGAGUUGACAGCACUUUAAUUUUGCUUUAUUGCCUCAUUUUAUCUCACCAAUUUCUU
rnacentral:lncRNA from 1 species